rnacentral:rRNA from 1 species
CCUACGGGGGGCAGCAGUGGGGAAUAUUGCACAAUGGGGGAAACCCUGAUGCAGCGACGCCGCGUGAGUGAAGAAGUAUUUCGGUACGUAAAGCUCUAUCAGCAGGGAAGAAAAUGACGGUACCUGACUAAGAAGCCCCGGCUAACUACGUGCCAGCAGCCGCGGUAAUACGUAGGGGGCAAGCGUUAUCCGGAUUUACUGGGUGUAAAGGGAGCGUAGACGGCAGCGCAAGUCUGGAGUGAAAUCCCAUGGCUUAACCAUGGAACUGCUUUGGAAACUGUGCAGCUAGAGUGCAGGAGAGGUAAGCGGAAUUCCUAGUGCAGCGGUGAAAUGCGUAGAUAUUAGGAGGAACACCAGUGGCGAAGGCGGCUUACUGGACUGUAACUGACGUUGAGGCUCGAAAGCGUGGGGAGCAAACAGGAUUAGAUACCCGGGUAGUC